rnacentral:rRNA from 1 species
GUGAAGAAGGCCUUCGGGUUGUAAAGCACUUUCAGUCGUGAGGAAGGUACGUGUAGUUAAUAGCUGCAUUAUUUGACGUUAGCGACAGAAGAAGCACCCGGCUAACUCCGUGCCAGCAGCCGCGGUAAUACGGAGGGUGCGAGCGUUAAUCGGAAUUACUGGGCGUAAAGCGCAUGCAGGUGGUUUGUUAAGUCAGAUGUGAAAGCCCGGGGCUUAACCUGGGAAUUGCAUUUGAAACUGCUUGGCUAGAGUCCUUGAGAGGGGGUAGAAUUUCAGGUGUAGCGGUGAAAUGCGUAGAGAUCUGAAGGAAUACCGGUGGCGAAGGCGGCCCCCCUGGACAGAUACUGACACUCAGAUGCGAAAGCGUCGGGGAGCAAACAGGAUUAGAUACCCUGGUAG